AAUCUUUUGAGCACUUUCUACAUACUUCUUCUCUGCUUCAGCUAUACUACGACGGUCAUGUUCACGCUCAUAGAGCUUUGCCAUCUUUUCAAUACCUUUUCGAUAUUGUUCCUCAACAGAUAAUUUGAACUCCAAUUGUUGUAAUAAGAAUGAUAUCUUUGAAAUAGUAAGAGGGGUAUCAUAAUUUAGCAAAUCCAAGUUAGAAUCGAUAUUAGAAGAAGUAGAGGAAAAGCUUUUAGCGGAUUUUGUAGUGCUAAAGGAUGGAUUCUUCUCAAUGCCAACGGACGGUUUCUCAGAAUUACUCUUUCGGACACCAUUUUUGCGAAGCUUUAGUUUUUCUAAGCGUUCUUCUAAAUAAAUAAUGCUCUUUUUUGAUUCUUCAAUAUUGCUAUGAAGUUGUUGGUGAACUGUCUGAUUCUGAGUCAAGCGCUUCAUGGAAAGGGCGCCAUGAAUAACUGAUCUUUCUCUUUCAAUUUUCCUAACAACUUCUGUUAUAGCCUC